GACGAACGCUGGCGGCGUGCCUAAUACAUGCAAGUCGAGCGAGACUCUUCGGAGUCUAGCGGCGGACGGGUGAGUAACACGUGGGCAACCUGCCUGUAAGACUGGGAUAACACCGGGAAACCGGUGCUAAUACCGGAUAAUCCUUUUCCUCUCAUGAGGAAAAGCUGAAAGUCAGUUUCGGCUGACACUUACAGAUGGGCCCGCGGCGCAUUAGCUAGUUGGUGAGGUAACGGCUCACCAAGGCGACGAUGCGUAGCCGACCUGAGAGGGUGAGCGGCCACACUGGAACUGAGACACGGCCCAGACUCCGACGGGAGGCAGCAGUAGGGAAUCUUCCACAAUGGACGAAAGUCUGAUGGAGCAACGCCGCGUGAGCGAUGAAGGCCUUCGGGUCGUAAAGCUCUGUUGUUAGGGAAGAACAAGUACCGGAGUAACUGCCGGUACCUUGACGGUACCUAACCAGAAAGCCACGGCUAACUACGUGCCAGCCGCCGCCGUAAAAC
rnacentral:rRNA from 1 species